AAGCAUCCUCAUUCGAUAUGCCACAACAUCUGGGAAAAGCAACAUCCUUAUAGAUGCAGGAAAAUUCUUCUACCACAGUGCUCUUCGAUGGUUUCCAGCCUAUGGGUUAGUUAUUAUCUUGUUUAGUGAUUAUUUAUUAUUUCAUUUUAAUUUAGUGGUGUAAUUUUCUGCUGGUCACACUAGCUAUCUGAGGGUCACAAUAUAUGUAUAUGUAGUGGUUACAUUUAUGAAAUGUCAAAUUCGCAUUGUGCAAAUAGCAAAACUAUCAUUGACUGUCCUUUU